rnacentral:ncRNA from 1 species
AUAAAAAACCCUGCAGCCAAUACUGCAGGGCCCUUCUAUAUCCUUAUUCCGGACAGAAGGCAAAGGGAGAGGAGAAAUCGGAGGAAGAACUUAUGGGGAAACGUAAGUCUUCUCCGCG